CCUAAAGUUCCAUGUGCUAUAACUUGAACAACUCCUGUGCAUGUCUUUUAAUUAGCAAGUGCUAGUUAAGGGAAAAUAAAGUGAAACUGUUAAGACUUAAUUAAAAUGUGAAUUGAUAUGGACAUUGAAAUCUGGAACUCCACAGCCAGUUGUUCUGCCUGUCUUUGCAGUCCUGACCAAUGAAAUUAAGAAGAAGAAGUACAUCAGGAAGAAAUAAUGGGAUGUAUUUAAUAGAGUUUAAAUAAAACUUACCAGGUUAGAAAAGCAAACAAAGGUACAGUAUAUCUACAACACCUUAAAAUUGCCACUGAAGUUUAGAUUUACAAGUCACGGAGUUUCACUUAAUUUCUGCCUGAAUAUGUGUGAACACUCUUGGGCCAUGAAUGCCGAACAAGGCUUUUUCCUUCUUCAAUUGGUUACUACAAUCAAAGCUGACCCUCCUCCAACCCCAAAUCCAGUUUUAGGCUUUCAGCAAAAGGUUAACAACCUUGUGUGAAUUACGUACAUUACUGGAAAACCUACUCCCGAAAGGUGUAUGGGAAAGUGGAAAUGCGGCCAUUUGGCACAAACAGGUCCACACACAAAACCCUGAUCAUGGUAUAAAAAGCAUGUUACAGAUUGGCAGUAACAUUUCUCAUUGCAUCACAAAGCACUGAAUGACACCCCAAGGAGCUCCAUCAUCUACU
rnacentral:lncRNA from 10 species